AGCGGUAGAGAGGUGCUUGCACCUCUUGAGAGCGGCGGACGGGUGAGUAAUACCUAGGAAUCUGCCUGGUAGUGGGGGAUAACGUUCGGAAACGGACGCUAAUACCGCAUACGUCCUACGGGAGAAAGCAGGGGACCUUCGGGCCUUGCGCUAUCAGAUGAGCCUAGGUCGGAUUAGCUAGUUGGUGAGGUAAUGGCUCACCAAGGCUACGAUCCGUAACUGGUCUGAGAGGAUGAUCAGUCACACUGGAACUGAGACACGGUCCAGACUCCUACGGGAGGCAGCAGUGGGGAAUAUUGGACAAUGGGCGAAAGCCUGAUCCAGCCAUGCCGCGUGUGUGAAGAAGGUCUUCGGAUUGUAAAGCACUUUAAGUUGGGAGGAAGGGCAUUAACCUAAUACGUUAGUGUUUUGACGUUACCGACAGAAUAAGCACCGGCUAACUCUGUGCCAGCAGCCGCGGUAAUACAGAGGGUGCAAGCGUUAAUCGGAAUUACUGGGCGUAAAGCGCGCGUAGGU
rnacentral:rRNA from 1 species